rnacentral:rRNA from 1 species
CCUACGGGUGGCUGCAGUGAGGAAUAUUGCGCAAUGGGGGAAACCCUGACGCAGCAACGCCGCGUGAGUGAGGAAGGUUUUCGGACCGUAAAGCUCUGUCGAGCGGGAAGAAGUGCCUGGUGGCUAAUAUCCAUUAUGCUUGACGGUACCGCUAAAGGAAGCACCGGCUAACUCCGUGCCAGCAGCCGCGGUAAUACGGGGGGUGCUAGCGUUGUUCGAGAUCAUUGGGCGUACUGGACGUGUCAGCUGCGAAAGCCCUGGGCUGAACCUAGGAAGUGCAUUUGAAACUGUUCAGCUUGAGUAAGGGAGAGGAAAGUGGAAUUCCUGGUGUAGAGGUGAAAUUCGUAGAUAUCAGGAGGAACACCGGUGGCGAAGGCGACUUUCUGGCCCUAUACUGACGCUGAGACGCGAGAGCGUGGGUAGCAAACAGGAUUAGAUACCCGAGUAGUC